CUCUAGCAUUUCCAGUAUUAGAGGCAMUGCCUGCCCAGUGACAYYAGUUAAACGGCCGCGGUAUYCUGACCGUGCAAAGGUAGCAUAAUCAUUUGUUCYUYAAAUAGGGACUUGUAUGAAUGGCCACACGAGGGCUUUACUGUCUCUUACUUCCAAUCCGUGAAAUUGACCUUCCCGUGAAGAGGCGGGAAUACGACAAUAAGACGAGAAGACCCUGUGGAGCUUUAAUUAAUCGACCCAAAGAGACCUUAAUAACCAACCGACAGGAACAACAGACCUCUGCCAUGGGCCGACAAUUUAGGUUGGGGUGACCUCGGAGAAUAAAACAACCUCCGAGUGAUUUAAAUCUAGACUAACCAGUCGAAAGUAUUACAUCACUUAUUGAUCCNAAAGCUUGAUCAACGGAACAAGUUACCCCAGGGAUAACAGCGCAAUCCUAUUUC
rnacentral:rRNA from 1 species